GAAAGGGUGUGAGUUAAAGCUCGUAGUCGGAUUUCGGGCGCGUGUGAACUGUCCCCUCUGGUUGGAAGGUGCGCCCGUGCCUCUCCGCGUGGGAGCCCCAUGGCGGGGCUUCCUGCCUGGUGGUCCACGUCCCGUUUACUUCUUUGAAUUAAUUGUGUUGUAGCAGGCUGCCGCUUGUCUAAAUUAUUAUGGAGUAAUGACACAAGACCUUGCUGCUCUUUCCUGGGGUACGGGACUGGCGUAAUGAUGAUUAAGAACAAUUGGGGCCGUUCAUAUUUCUUUGUUGUAGGAGAAAUUCUUGGAUUAACUAACAAUGAACUUGUGCGAAAAAUUCUUGCCGAUGUUUUUUUGAUCUCAAAAAAAGUUAUGGGAUCUCAGACAAUAUUAUACCGCCGUAUUCUCUCCAUAAACUAUGCCCCUACUAGAUCAUUGAGUGUCAAUUAACUACCUCAUUGGCCCCUUGUUGAAAUCAAUCUUUUUGGGUUCCUCCGGGAGUAUGGUCGCCGGCUGAUACUUCUUAGAAUUGACGGAAGGGCACCACCACCAGUGGAGCCUGCGGCUUAUUUGACUCCUCACGGCGAAACUUAUUACGUCCACACAUCAUCAUGAUGAACAGAUUAUUGACUCUUUCUUGAUUCUAUGGUGGGUGGUGCAUGGUCGUUCUUCUUUGGUGGAGUGAUUUGUCUGGAUAAUUCCUCUAACGAACAACACCUCCUCCUGCUGCUAAUAAUGACUGUUUUUCCGGGGCUGCCCUUCUUCUUAGAGACUAUACUUGUUCAUAGAAUAUGAAUUUGUGGCGCAAUAACGUGUGUGAUGCCCCCUUAUGUUCUCGGCGCACGCGCGCUAUACUGAUGGAUGCUACAAGAUCUAAUCUUUGACAAAAGGUCCGGGAAACCUUGUCAAAAUCCAUCGUGAUGGGGAUAGAUCAUUGCAAUUCUUGAUCUUCAACGAGAAAUGCCUAGUAAGCGCGAGUCAUCAGCUCGCGUUGAUUACGUCCCUGCCCUUUGUACACACCGCCCGUCGCUCCUACGAUUGAAUGGUGCUGGCGAAAUCGUUCAGAUUGCUGGACAGAGGCUUAGGCACAUAGCUGGUCGACC
rnacentral:rRNA from 1 species